UAUGAAAAGGGUUGAAUGCCCAUUCGCAAAUGACCAACCUGCAGCUAUUUCUCAAUUUAUUUUAAUCAAAUUUAACUGCUUGCAGUUGUUUAGUUAAAUAAUUUGGUCAAGCAAUUUUUCUUCUUGAGCAUUAGCGGGAGGCCCGCACGGGUGAGUUCUGCAAAGUAAGCAGCGUCAACACUCGGCCAGCCUAUCACCCCUCCAUAAAUUCAUGCGCAUAGCAAUGUUAUGAGCGCGGCGGGCAGCUCCCACCACCCGCUUUGUUUUCCUUACUCAUUAGUUUAAGGCAGUUUGUAAUGUUGCCCCACUCUUCUCUUUUAAACACUUCACUUAGUUCCUUUCCUGCCAACUUCCGAUGCGGGACUAAAAAAUCCCUCAGUCGGCACCACAAGGGAAUUUCGAUGUGCCUUCUCACCCAGCAGGAGUUCCUCCGCGCCACCGCCCUCGCCGCUGAGCGAGUAAGACUCUUCGCCGAAUCCAUCCCCGCCCUGGACGAGGUUUUCGCCAAGUUCGUCACCAUGUACCCCGAAGUACCAGUCCUCCAGCCAAAUCGACGACCUCCGCCGCGACGAGCACUGCCACCUCGCCGCGCCGACGCCCGGGUUUGCCUCGACUUCUGCGGCUUCAAACACGGCCGAGUACGACGUCAAGAGUUCUGGCGAUUCCCGAGGACUCUCCUCCGGCGCUCCUGGUCAAGAAUCUCUACCUCUCCUGCGAUGCCUACAUACGCGGCAGCAUGGCCAAGCACGACUCGCCUAGCUACGUCCCCGACUUCACUCCCGGCUCUGUACGCGCGCACAUCGCAACCCUAAAAUCGACUCGAUUUCUGUGAUAAUAGUCGAAGGAGAUUCGAUUUCAUGUUUCUACUUUGUUCGAAGGUGAUUACUGGCUUUGGAGUGAGUAGUGGUGGAAUCCACGCAUCCCGAUUUCAUGGUCGGUGAUCUGAUUACAGCCUUAUCGUCUCUGAUUUGGGGAGUUUCUUCAAGAUCAGAUACACGAACUUGCCCCUUUCUUACAAUACCGGUCUUUUAGGUAAACUUUUACGUCUUAAAUUGUUCCUCGUGACCUUUCCAUGCAUCUGAUCUGCAUUGGCUAAUUUUUAUGAUUUGUGAGGUUAAACUGAAGGAAUGGCGCAAAACUGGAUGAGAACUACAUCCCAUUAGAUUGCUCCAAGGUCUAACUUUGCAGUGUGCAUCCAUUCAUCUGAUUAACUCCAUUUGUUCUUCAAUGUUGCUUGAGAUUCAUUCAUUCCACAGAAUCAGACAAAUCCUUCUCAUUUUUCAUUGUUGAUUUCGUGGUUUCAAAUGCUUGGUCAUUAACAUAACAUUGAUGAUUCAACAAAGAACUUGCAUAACUAUUUGAAUUCAGUUUUUAAAAAUGUAUGCAGAUAUGUAGAUCCUUCUCGUACUUAAAUCAUCCAACUUGAAUGCAACCUAAAAUGGUUUUUUCUUUCUCGUUGUUGAUGAUGUGGUAAAUAAUGCCUACACUGAAUUAAAAUCCUAGCUUCGCCCCUACUGACGCAGAUGCUACGAGAUAUCUGGCAAUUGCUGGACAUGUAAUCAAUUCUUAUCCUUCGAUUCCUUUAUUGCUUUAGCUUGAAUUCCAGAGUAGCUGCUAUUGUCUUUAUGAAAUUUCUGAGCUAUGGUUGUAUAAAAAGUUAAUUCUUAUUUAUAAAAAUUCUCCAAAUACAUUGAAAUGAAUUAAAUUAUCUUUUGUACUUUAGGUAAUAUUUUCUUUUUGUCAUUUGCUAGCCAUCUUAAGUAUUAAGAAUUAAUUAUAGGGAGUUAUAUUCACAAAUGCAUAUUUUUUUUCAUGGGUAACCCUUUCAUUGCAAUUUAUAAUCUAUUUAUUAGUUGCAUUAUCAAAAACUAGAAAAUUGAAGAUACUUAGAACAUUGUGCGUGUGUGUGUGCGCGCGCGCGCAUUUUCAAUUUUUUAAAAAGAAUUCUUUGGUUUGAUCUAUUAAACAUGCUUUUAAUUUUAAAAUUAGAAACUGAAAUCCACUUUUUUUUUUUCAAAAUUAUGUUCACUGAAUAUGGAAAUUUUAUUUUGUUUUUACUUGUAUGGAUCUAAAUUGUUUGUAAUCAACUCUCAAACUGAAUUUGAACUCGAAUGUUAGAUGAUUAGUCAUAUUGUAUGGAUCUAAUUCCUAUUUUGUUUUUACUUGUUACUUUUAUUGUUAAAAGUGACUAUAUUAUAGGGAGUUUAUAUGUUCCUACAUUUGUUUCCCUAUAGCUGAUAAGUAGUUCACAUUGACUCAGUGAGAUAUAUGAAAUCACUUCUUUAUACAUGGUUGUUAAUUUUUUUUUGUCAUAUUGUUGGGAGCUUAUAAUUUGUUCCUUCCAAUGUUUCCAAUUAUUUGUACAUUUGAAAAGUAUUUUUUAUAUUUUUGUAGAUAGAACUUAGAAGUAUGACAUCCCUUGAUAACAUUUGAACUAGAUUAUCUAAACCUAAACAAAAGUCUGCAUAUAUAAUUUUUAUACUCAAGCACACUUAACUUUCUAAUUGGUGCUUGCUUUCUUCAAAUGACUUUGGAGGAUUCUUGCAACCAUCACAUUUGUUAAGUGGUAUGUAGUUAUGGCCAUAGCCUCUACGUGGUUUAAGCUAGGAUAGUUUUCAUUCAAGCCGACUUGGAUUCUUGCAACCAUCAGAAUGGAUCCUUCCCCGGGACCCUGCAUAGCGGGAGCUUCGUGCACCGAGCUAUCCUUUUUUUUUUCUAUAGUUCUAAUCAAAAUACAAUUGUCUCUAUUAAAAAUGCUAUUAUACUAACUAUCAAACAUAGACUAAUUUGGCAUGUUAUCAUCACAACUGUCCAAGGGUUGGACUCCUCUUUGAUAUGCUCGCCCCCCACCCCAAUCACAUUCUCUUUGUAUUCACCCUUUCUACAACCUACUGUAAAUUUUCUGUCUUUUGCACUAUUUAACUGGUUUGGAUUAUCAAAGUGCUUUUUGUCCAGUUUCUUAUAACCAUCUAACUUGAGGUUUUAUUUAGGACUAAUUCUAAUGUGGAAAAGUAGAAAUUACCAAACUUGCUAAACUUCUUGCAGACCUUUGUAUUAUAGUUAUCUUACUUUGUAUAUUUAAUCACUAACUUUAUAUUUAAUCACUAACUUUAGAUCACUAGUCAAGGCAACUUGUUAAAGCGACUAAUUAAGAAUUCUUUAUCUAUAGUAAGAAAGCUUUUCUAAUUGUGGAAAUAAUUGUUUAAUGUCAAUGAAUUAAGAGUCACUGAUUACUUUGUCAAGAAUGGUGGUAGCAAAGAACAUAAGCAAAUGCUUAGCAUUGUAAAAUUAGUACAACUAUAAGUGUAGUAGUAAUAUCAGAAAACAUCCACACAAUAGGAAUUAAAGCAACCAUUUCUCCAGAUUGCAAGCACAUCACAUUAACACACUCCUGUUUUCUUCUUCCAGCCCUACAGGAGUUGAGUAAAGGUGAAGCUUUUUCCCUGUUACAAGAGCAAAAGGCAGCAUGUGGUGCUAACUGCUAACCAUCUUCCUCAUGUUAUUGCAUGUGAUGAUAGCACUACAAAAUGUAUCCAGACUAUUAAAAGAAAGCCUAUUCUCUGUCAAACAUUAAUAUGCUUUAAGCAAAGUGAGGGUAUGCUUGAGUUUGCCAUAGAGAAAGGUCUUUAUUAUGCGGGGUGUGCUGAGGUAGUCGAUUAGGAACUACUCAUGUAUAUGCAAUUAUGCAUUUGUACUCUUCCUGCUUUAGGCUUCAGCCUUUAAUGUUGUUUCUGUUUGGUAUGUACUUCUCCUGCCCCAUCCUUCCUAAUAGCUAUCACCUUCCAAAGGUUUAGUGGAAUCUGAGGAGAAGCAUGAACACAAAAUUUAUUCUAUGAUACCAUCAAGAUCAACUGCCCCAACAGAUGCUACGGGAGAUGUGGCAAUUGCUGGACAUGCAAUCAGUUCUUAUCCUUCGAUUCCUUCACUGCUUUAGCUGGAAUUGCUGAGCUAUGGUUGUUAUGGGAGAGUGAAAAAGAGCAAGAGUUCAUGGCGAAUCAACAAUGAAAAGAGAAACUUGGCCUGCUAUGAUCAGAUCAAUCCAAAACCUGAAGAAU